AGAAAUGCUUUCAAUCUUGGCUGGAUCUAAGGAUGAUGCAAUUAAUGCUUCCAUUGCUUUGUUUUUAGAGACCUCGUGCCCAGUAUCAACCAGAGAAUCCCUCUCUUCAUCCAACUGUUUUUCUCUGGAUGAACCAAACGUCCCACGAAUCCUGGUUCACCUUGGGGCGCUCCACCACCAUCAAUCAGCCUAAUCUGUUGCUCCUGUGUAGGUUGUUGAUUGUCAAUAGAAGCUUCUUUUGGAGAAUUGCAAUUUGUGGAAUUUGAACUAGCUUCAUGUUUGUCUUGACGCGCUCCACCACUAUCAAUCAACCCAAUAUGCUGCUCUUGUGUAGGCAUGGCAUGAACAUAAACAUGGUUGGCCAAGGAUAACUUGCAAAUGAAGCACUCAUGAUGGAAGCAAGCAAACAUGAACAAUGGAGUGAUGGAUUAAGGGUGUUGUUAUGUUAACACAAGUUGGCGGCUAACCUCAACUUUUACUUCACCAUUCCGCUUCUGUUUCGAUAGGAACAACUGUUGUUUUUGACGGCGUGCAUCAUCUAUAUGUGCUACAUGAGAUGCUUUGGACUCGUUAUCUUCUUGAGCAUUACUGGAUGAGACAUCCACCUCCACGGAUGAUGACAAAUUUCAGGUAUAGUAGCCGGGAGUGGUUGUGGGUUGUCAGAAUAAUCUCCGUCCACAGGCGGAACUGAAGCAUUUUGAUUGCUUGAGUUCUGCUCCGCUACAGUUUCAAGCUAUUGUCUUGAGUUACCUGCAUAAUGCCUUCUUGUACCAGAAGCUGGGAAAGAAAGUUGCUUCUUAGCAGGAGUACUUGGCACUUUGCUUUUAGUCUUUGCAACCUUUGCAGGUGCUGGAAGUAUGCUCCUUGAAGCUAGAGUUUGAUGACUUGGUUUUUGGCUUGUAGGAGAGUUUUUACUAUCUUGAUUUUGAUCUCUUAGAGCAUACAAUUUGGAGAUUUCUCCAACUGACAUAGUGUGAUUUGCAGCACCUUUUGCUGAUUUAUGAUUCUCUUCAUCCUUUGUGUGAACUAUCAGAAGGAAAAUCCUUACCGACAGUAACAUUACCACCAUCCGAUGGACUAAUUCUAUCUACAUUUACAGUAGAUGAAGGGGCGGAAUUCACAUUAGUAAUUCCAGAUGAUACAGUUGUAGGCCCAUUGGCAAUAGCUGGAACAGUGCUUGUUCCAGAACUUUUUUUCUAGCCUUUGUCCCUUGCGAACCUGGCAAAGGAGGCACACCCUUUGGAGUUUCUUGGUUAUGACUUGGUGUGGAUGGUUGGACAAGGUAUGCACCAAGUGAUUUGCACAAGUUUGAAGGAAUUUUGGAAUGACAAAAGGCAAAAGUCAAUUGUUGACCGAAGUCAAC